UUGAAUUUUUAAAAUAAUAAAUGAUAAACAAAAGGUUUGGCGUGCAUAGAAAACAUCAGUACCCAACCGCACUAUCUCAGUUUUGCGUUCUUCCCGAAGCGGCACCAGCACCAGCACCAGCACCAUUAGAAGGAGGAAGAAGAAAACACAGCAACGGAGAAAAGCAAACCAUGAAAGCUCUUCUCAAUCAAGAACCUUCUCUUUUCACCUCCAUCUCCACUACUUCCACCACCGCCAAGCAUCGCAGCCUCACUCACCCUCUCACCCAAACACUCUUCAACCUCCCCGCAUAUAACGGCCGCCGCCUUACCGGAAGAAAACUAACCUUAACCACCAAAUCCGUGUUGGAGUCCGUCACCGUAAAAAAUUCAAACAUCCCGGAAUACGAUACCCGAAACCCGACGAUUUCAUCUUCGUAUCGGAGGUCCGGUAUUCCGAAGCCGAAUCAGACGGUGCUGGACGCUCAGACUAGGGUUUGCACGGGCCCCACACAGACCAAGCCUCUCGGCGAGGAUCAGGCCUUCAAGGUGCUCGACACGAUUUACAGAUCGGUCAAGGGCGAGCUGAAGGAUGAGGAGCCGGUGUCGAAGUCGCAGCUCGGCGCGUUUUUCGCGGCUAUGUCGAUUCGCGCCAACGCUUUUCCGGAGGCGACGCAGUGGAGCGAAGGCGAGAUCCGGGCGAUGAACCAGUUCUGGCCGCUUCUGGUUCGGGCUCUUCCGGCGGACGUGGUGUUCGUCGCCGAUCCGGAGGGGUCGUUGAUGGGCGCGGGAAGCUCAAUCGGACCCCAAUUCGUCGGGAACGGCGCUAGCGAGAUGAGAUUGGUCGGCGCCCUCCGGGAGGUCCUCGCCGGCGGCCACCUAGGAUUUGAAGAAGUCCAAGGCGUGCUGCGAGACAUUCUUCCGUUGAAAUCAGUGGAUGAUGCGACGUCGUCCGAUAGUGUGAGUGAAGCGUUGCUUUCGGCAUUGCUGAUUGGUCAGCGGAUGAACAGAGAAACUGUCCGUGAGCUGAAAGCUUACUGCCUUGCAUUUGAUGAUGAACUCGGUGAUACUCCAAUUGCUGAUGUUAAAUCACUUACUCACUAUGGUGAACCUUACGAUGGUAACACGCGUUUCUUUAGAAGCACAUUGUUCGUUGCUGUGGUUCGAUCUUGUUAUUCCGAAUCUUGCUUGCUUCACGGCUUGGAUUGGAUGCCGCCUAAGGGAGGAGUUACUGAAGAACAGAUGCUUAAGUUUAUGGGGGCAAAUACGAGGUUAACCCCGUUGCAAGCAAAAGUACUUCUUGAGGAUGAAGACAUUGGUUUUGCCUAUAUAAGUCAACGUGAAGCCCGCCCUUCUCUAUAUUCAUUAGUUAAGUUGAGAGAGCAUAUUAAGAAACGUCCCCCACUGGCAACGACCGAAAAGGUUCAGCAAUUCGUGAAGGCCCGGGGGAAGGAAGCAAUUGUUGCUGGGUUUUAUCAUGAAGGUUUUGAGGAGCCGCUCUUAAUGCUUAUGAGAAGAAGAGGUGUCAAUGCUGGCUUGGUGGUGAAGGGUGAGGAAGGAGCUCUCUCAAUGACAACCAGAUUGCGGUCAGUAAAUUCAUCAAAAGGACUUCCUGUAAACUACUGUUCAGGGUUUCGUUCAACAAGCCUUGUAUCCUCUUGUGAAGUUGAUGGUGUUUCACGUCAGAGCUUCAGUCUAGAGGUUAAUGCCGUAGACUAUGGUUUUGAACCCACUGACACUCCAAGAACUGAUAGAUCGGUUGUGAAGAAUAUAGAGUUGGGCUUAACAGCGCUUCGUGGUCACAAGGGACCAGCUUAUGAUCGAAUAGUGUUGAAUGCUGGAAUGACUGAUCACUUACUUGGAUGUGAUGGUGCAGAAGACAUAACCUCAGCCCUGGAUAGAGCCAGAGAGGCUAUUGACAGUGGAAAGGCUCUAAAAAAGGUCUUGAAUUACAUAAGAGUUUCAAACGAAGUGUGAUAUAGGCCCGGAAUUGAAGAUAGGUAGAUGUUGUGAUAAAGGAGGAGAAGAGGAGGGAUGUGUUUUCGUUUUGCUCUAACUAGAGGUGUAAGGAAGGCUACUUCAAAAUGUAUGUGUGGCGGAUAAAUUGUUACAAAAUUUUGAUUUGUCAUUUGAGUUGUAAAUUUUUCUGUGUGCGCAUGUGCCAUGUAAAUCUUUCUCGUUUGAUUCGACUUGUAAAGCGAAGAAUGAAGUGAUCGUGUGCCUGCUAAAACGAAUUACUUUUGACUUGUAACCGCAGAACGAACCAGCAUUUUUAAGAAAGAUAAAUAAAUAUCAAAAGCUUUUGUUUGUUUU